AGCGAACGCUGGCGGCAGGCUUAACACAUGCAAGUCGAGCGGGCACCUUCGGGUGUCAGCGGCAGACGGGUGAGUAACACGUGGGAACGUACCCUUUGGUUCGGAACAACUCUGGGAAACUGGAGCUAAUACCGGAUACGCCCUUAUGGGGAAAGGUUUACCGCCGAAGGAUCGGCCCGCGUCUGAUUAGCUAGUUGGUGAGGUAACGGCCCACCAAGGCGACGAUCAGUAGCUGGUCU
rnacentral:rRNA from 1 species